rnacentral:rRNA from 1 species
UACGUAGGGGGCUAGCGUUGUUCGGAAUUACUGGGCGUAAAGCGCACGUAGGCGGAUUGUUAAGUUAGGGGUGAAAUCCCAGGGCUCAACCCUGGAACUGCCUUUAAUACUGGCAAUCUCGAGUCCGAGAGAGGUGAGUGGAAUUCCGAGUGUAGAGGUGAAAUUCGUAGAUAUUCGGAAGAACACCAGUGGCGAAGGCGGCUCACUGGACUGGUAUUGACGCUGAGGUGCGAAAGCGUGGGGAGCAAACAGG